rnacentral:rRNA from 1 species
AUGUGUGCAUAUUUUAAAUCUUCUAUCAAGUUUAUUUUCUCCUAAAAUUUACUUUCAAAUCCACCUUCAAUAAUUUUUACAAAUAAAAUCCGUUUAAUUAUUGUUAUUGUAACUAACCUUUUCUUAAACAUAAACUACACCUUGACCUGACAUACUUCUUUUAAGCUCCUUGAAUAUUAUUUCUCAACAUUUCCUGAUGACGGCGGUAUAUAAGCCUGAGUUUAAGUCAGUUAAAAUGGGGGUUAUCAAUUAAAAGACAAGUUCCUCUGAUAAGAUAAAAUACCGCCAAAUUCUUUAAGUUUCUG